GUGCCAGCAGCCGCGGUAAUACAGAGGUCCCAAGCGUUGUUCGGAUUCACUGGGCGUAAAGGGUGCGUAGGUGGUCAGGUAAGUCUGAUGUGAAAGCUCUGGGCUCAACCCAGAAAUGGCAUUGGAUACUAUCUGGCUUGAGGAAUGGAGGGGGGACUGGAAUACUUGGUGUAGCAGUGAAAUGCGUAGAUAUCAAGUGGAACACCAGUGGCGAAGGCGAGUCCCUGGACAUUUCCUGACACUGAGGCACGAAAGCUAGGGGAGCAAACAGGAUUAGAUACCCCUGUAGUCC
rnacentral:rRNA from 1 species